rnacentral:sRNA from 1 species
UAACAAGGUGCACAAUAA